UAGAGAUGGGGCAUAGAGGUAAUAUAUGAUAAAAAAAAUCAGAGAAACAAAAACCCUAAACCCCACCCACUAAGUUUUUACGUUUUUGGGAAGAGGAGGCAGAAGACGGGAAAGAGGAAAAAUUGCUCUGCUAGGGCUUGGGAGAAGAAAGAGGAUUCCAGAGAGGAAGAGAACAAACCAUUCCAUAGAAGUUGGUUCACUCUAGUAGCACUUUUGUCCCACUCCUUAAUCCAGUGACAACUUUCAGUGGACUAGUUCUAGCAUACUAGUUUUACAAGCUCCUAGGUGGGGAAAACAAGUUACUACUUCAUUUCCUUAUGUUUUUCGAUCUUGGGAUUUAAUUUCUUUUUUAACUAUGUACCCACUUAAUUACGGGCCUAUGUUUGACACCUGGAUGCAUGGUGUUUUCAUGCCUUUAUUUUAUAGACGAUGUGAUGGUGCUCAAAUAGUGUUGAUGACAAUUCGCUUCUUUCAAUAAUAAUGAAAUUAAUUUCAUUCAA